GGUAAAGCUGAGAGCAGUAGAGCCGGGGGCUGUAUAGCAAAUAAGAGACAGGGCCAGGAUUCAAACCCAGCUCCUCACUGCUCUGCUCUACUCCCCAGAGAAUGUGCAGCUCAGCGGCCCAGGCCAGCCCAGGGGAAGACCCCAGGGGAAAGACUAGCUGUGCUGUUGGCAAGUAACAUAGCUGUGUGCGUCCCUCAAAUAUCCAGUACUUGAUGCAGGGCCUGUGACCAAAUGGACAGAAGUCAUGAAGGAUGCCUUCAGUAUGGCUGGCUCUGACCUCUGACCUCCCUGCCGCAGGUGGGAUGGGACAGCCUCACAUUUCCCUCCAAGAUGUUCAUGUCUUCCGCCUGGGUGUUCUAAAAGGUUGUUCAUCCCCAACACACAUUUUGCAUCCCUGUUUGUCUCAAAUCUGCAUGAUUAAAUUUAAGAGCGGCCCUCCUCACUCCCAACAUACGGACUGCAUCUCUGCAUGUACCUUUAGCUACCAUAGUCCUCAAACUGAAGUGUGUGUGAAAAUCACCAGAAGGUUUGUUCACAUUCAGAUUGCUGGGCCCCAUCCGCAGGGGUUUGGAUUCACUAGGUUUAGGGUGGACAGAGAAUUUACAUUUCUAGUGAAUUCACAGGGGAAGCCAGUGCUGCUAGUCUAGGGACGCCCCCUUGGGAAUGACUACUGUAUGCUCUUCCUUUCCUUCUUGACUUCUAUCCCAGAUAAACAGGUGUCCCCUCACCUGUAUGUGGCUAAUCUCUCCUGCUGAAGACACUUAUCAUUUUCCCCGGAGCCUGGAUGGAAGAGUCACUAUAAGCCAGGCCCUGGAGCUCCACCUCUUUAAUUUAGCAGUAAACCAGGCCGAGUCAGACCCUGCCCUCAUGGAAGCCUCACUGCAUGUGGGAAGAGAAGCAUCUCUGGGGGUGAGAAUAAAUGGGAUUAACUCUGAAUGGGUGAAAGCCUU
rnacentral:lncRNA from 1 species